rnacentral:rRNA from 1 species
UACGUAGGGGGCUAGCGUUGUCCGGAAUCACUGGGCGUAAAGGGCGCGUAGGCGGCGCGGUAAGCGUGCGGUGAAAGCCCGGGGCUCAACCCCGGGUCGGCCGUGCGGACUGCCGGGCUCGAGCACUGUAGAGGCAGAUGGAAUUCCGGGUGUAGCGGUGGAAUGCGUAGAGAUCCGGAAGAACACCGGUGGCGAAGGCGGUCUGCUGGGCAGUUGCUGACACUGAGGCGCGACAGCGUGGGGAGCAAACAGG